UUGAAGUCAAAGUGUACCAACUGCAUGUCCUCAGACAUCUCAAUCUCAACUGUAGCAUGAGGGGCUGUCUAUAGAUUAGGGACAGACGAGACAAGGCAAAAUAGUCAAUUAGAAACUGUAGUGGCCAGAAUAAAAACAUUUUAUGAGCAGAAAAAGUUGGAAUACCUAUGACAAUAUAAUGCCGAUUUAAGUAAAAAAAGUAACAAAGUAGUUUCUACACAUUCCAGAAUUACUGUACUAUAGCCUAUAGGCCUAAUUUACUUUUAGGCUAAGGUAAUUUGCCACAAAAAACCAACCUUAUAGAAUUCAAAGUUUGAGUCCUUAGCACCCACUCAUACUUGUAACUAUCUAAUUGUAUGUGCACACAUAUGCAAAUAGAAAGACAAGUAUUCAAAUUUUAUUCGUGUACAUAGAUGGAGAUAACAUGAUGGUUGUUGCCACAGCUAGUUUAGUUUGGCAACAGCCCAAACAAUGUGGUUUUGGGGAUUUUUAUUAAUGGCAGUUUUAAUUAAUUAAAAUUACGUGGUUUUGGGCAGUUGAGUCACUGGCAACUACAACCAUGUUUUUCCCUGCAGAUAUAUAGAUUAAUAAAUACAAUGUGUACAAUAUCUUAUUAGUUUUAUUUGUAAGGCAUGAAUCCUGUAACUAAUGCAUAACAAACAUUUUAGGACAACUUGUAUUAGAGAUGCUCAAAUACUGACAUGUGCCAACAGUCGUAAAAGUGGUUCAUACAAGUGGUUCUGAUCACUAGAGACUUUCUUGCAAUCCCAGUUAGCUAAGAAUUUGGUUGGAUGUGCCAAGAUGCCCAAGCCAGCCAAAUCAAUAAUUGAUCUAACGUAUAAUAUUAAUCCAAAUAAAGCUUCCAAUUGAAAUUCCAAAUUCUUUGUGUGGUGUUGUGGCGGGGAAGGAUAAACCAUCUCAACAUUUUCAGUUAUAUUGAUGGGACAAAUUCUGUCAAUCAACUUCAAGAGAAGGAGAGAACAGCAGAUAGAACUUGAGUAUGUGACAGAAUGAAGGAAAUAGGUGGGUAUCAUGAUCCAAACGAAACUCCUAAUCAUGGCACAGAUGACAAGAAUGUACAUAUUACAUAAUAAGAUAUCUUGUAUGAAUAGAGAUACUAAAGAUCAUAGUAGGACAAAUAAAAAGAAUUAAACAAUUAAACCAUCCAAUUUUAGAAUAUGCCAAUUGAGUUAACUUCAAUCUUCAUUCAAAAAGUUAAUACUUAACAAAAGGAAGUACCACUCUGCAAAAAAUGAAAAAAUCCAUAGAAAGUACAAAACUGACAUGAAAAAAAUCCAUAGAAUUGCAUAUGCUGAAAUGAUUAUCAAGGAAUCUAUACCAACUCCUCUGUGACUAUUCAUCCUAAAAGUAAAAUACCAUCACAUGCUUUAANNNNNNNNNNNNNNNNNNNNNNNNNNNNNNNNNNNNNNNNNNNNNNNNNNNNNNNNNNNNNNNNNNNNNNNNNNNNNNNNNNNNNNNNNNNNNNNNNNNNUAGAAUGCCCCCAAAAAAAUGUCUCCCUAGAAUUUCUGGGUAGGUAAUGGUAAUGAGGAAAUGAUGUUUUUAUAUGGUUUUUUUUCAAGUGAGUAUACAUAUUCAUGUAAAAAUAUCAAAUACACUGCAUCAUCAUGAUACUUGUGAGUCAGACUCCAUAUGUACUUUGUACAGCUUCUUAGGCAUAAUACUAGCGUAUGAUUGAUAUCGGUUUACAUACACACAACACAACACAAUAAUAUCUGAUCUGUUUGUAAGCUCAAUAAACCAAGAUAUCAACCCAUACUUCCAGAAUAGCUGCAAAUUAACCCAAUAAUCUAUUCCCUCCCACCCUCUGUUUCAAAAUAUUUACAAAUUUCCAAAUAUAUUCUUUACAUAGCUAGUGAAUCCAAAUACAACUCUAUCUUCAGAAUAAUAGAAAAUACUCGGAUACCAUCCAUGCAUCACAGCUGACGGAGUCUAAUUAUUCUCAUUACUCACCGACAUAAUUACAAAGAAUCUAGUCAAUUUGCCAAGCAAUUCAACCUACAAAUCAAAACCGCCACUCUUGCAGUCUAAUUGUAAAUCACCUAUUUAUAAAACAAAAAAAAAAAAAUGCAUGUUUUACAUGUGCACUUUUGGAUAUAUAUGGGAAAAAUAUAUGUACACAACUAUGUAUUACAUAGUAAACUAUGGCGACGAUUUUUUGGACUAUAGUGACAGUUUCACCCGUCGUCAUAGCUAUUCUGAGCUAUGACGACAGUUUUCCGUCGCUAUAACCCAAAAAAUCUGUCGCCAUAACCCUACUGUGUAAUAUACAGCUAUGUAUAUACAUAUAGCCCUAUAUAUAUAUAUAUAUAAGGUCCGGAUCCAGUCAAGGAUCCCGGAAACAACUAAACUUUUUUUUUUAAUAUUUUAUAGAACUGAAAUUUUUACAUAAUACAGUGUUUUGGGUGUAAUUUGGAUACAUAUAACAAAACAUGUCCGGCCAGGAUCCAUUCUAUAUAUAUAUAUAUUGUAUUGGCUAGAUUAUCAAAAACAUUCUCAUUUUGGAGUAUCAAAGAAUUCCAGUGAAAUGGUUUCAUGCUACCAGAAUCCACGUCGGAGCUUGAAGAUGAGAGAACUGAAGGACUACAAGAAACAUGUCUACUAUACGGACUUAGGUAACACCGCAUCAAUUGAAGAAUGUAAGCAGCAUCAUGCAAAGUAAAGGGUGUGCUGCCACGGGAAGACAACAGAAUUACAUAAUUGACAACUCUGGAAUUUAAUACCCCCACACCACUUCCCCCCAAAUAACAAAAAAUAAUAAUAAAUCGUAAUAUUAACAGCUAAGUAACCACAAAUAAAAAAUAAAAAUAAAUAAAAAAAAAGGUAACCCAACCUGGUUAACUAGUAACCAGAAAACCUCCAAUAAUCUUAAAAGUAUAUUUCAUUUACAAAUUGUUGGGUUAACCUUUCUUUAUUUGUUUCCUUUUCCUUUUUAUACGUAAACAAUAAUUGUAUAUGUAAUAAAUACGAUAGUAGGACUAAAUUCAUGACGUUAGAAUUACCAUGUAUCGCUAUGAAAUUCAUACUAUGUAUAAUUGCAUGCAAGGCAAACUCUUCUACAGGAUAGAAAAUAACUUGGCCAGUAAAAUAUUAUAUUCAGCUAAUAACAUGCAGUUAAACCAUACCUGUUGAAGUCAAAGUGUACCAACUGCAUGUCCUCAGACAUCUCAAUCUCAACUGUAGCAUGAGGGGCUGUCUAUAGAUUUUAAGGGACAGACGAGACAAGGCAAAAUAGUCAAUUAGAAACUGUAGUGGCCAGAAUAAAAACAUUUUAUGAGCAGAAAAAGUUGGAAUACCUAUGACAAUAUAAUGCCGAUUUAAGUAAAAAAAAUGUAACAAAGUAGUUUCUACACAUUCCAGAAUUACUGUACUAUAGCCUAUAGGCCUAAUUUACUUUUAGGCUAAGGUAAUUUGCCACAAAAAACCAACCUUAUAGAAUUCAAAGUUUGAGUCCUUAGCACCCACUCAUACUUGUAACUAUCUAAUUGUAUGUGCACACAUAUGCAAAUAGAAAGACAAGUAUUCAAAUUUUAUUCGUGUACAUAGAUGGAGAUAACAUGAUGGUUGUUGCCACAGCUAGUUUAGUUUGGCAACAGCCCAAAACAAUGUGGUUUUGGGGAUUUUUAUUAAUGGCAGUUUUAAUUAAUUAAAAUUACGUGGUUUUGGGCAGUUGAGUCACUGGCAACUACAACCAUGUUUUUCCCUGCAGAUAUAUAGAUUAAUAAAUACAAUGUGUACAAUAUCUUAUUAGUUUUAUUUGUAAGGCAUGAAUCCUGUAACUAAUGCAUAACAAACAUUUUAGGACAACUUGUAUUAGAGAUGCUCAAAUACUGACAUGUGCCAACAGUCGUAAAAGUGGUUCAUACAAGUGGUUCUGAUCACUAGAGACUUUCUUGCAAUCCCAGUUAGCUAAGAAUUUGGUUGGAUGUGCCAAGAUGCCCAAGCCAGCCAAAUCAAUAAAAUAACUGAUCUAACGUAUAAUAUUAAUCCAAAUAAAGCUUCCAAUUGAAAUUCCAAAUUCUUUGUGUGGUGUUGUGGCGGGGAAGGAUAAACCAUCUCAACAUUUUCAGUUAUAUUGAUGGGACAAAUUCUGUCAAUCAACUUCAAGAGAAGGAGAGAACAGCAGAUAGAACUUGAGUAUGUGACAGAAUGAAGGAAAUAGGUGGGUAUCAUGAUCCAAACGAAACUCCUAAUCAUGGCACAGAUGACAAGAAUGUACAUAUUACAUAAUAAGAUAUCUUGUAUGAAUAGAGAUACUAAAGAUCAUAGUAGGACAAAUAAAAAGAAUUAAACAAUUAAACCAUCCAAUUUUAGAAUAUGCCAAUUGAGUUAACUUCAAUCUUCAUUCCAAAAGUUAAUACUUAACAAAAGGAAGUACCACUCUGCAAAAAAUGAAAAAAUCCAUAGAAAGUACAAAACUGACAUGAAAAAAAUCCAUAGAAUUGCAUAUGCUGAAAUGAUUAUCAAGGAAUCUAUACCAACUCCUCUGUGACUAUUCAUCCUAAAAGUAAAAUACCAUCACAUGCUUUAAAAGAAGAAAAAAAGAAGACAAACAAACUCCCAACUUUGUUUCGUGCAGAUUAUGAAAAAGUAGCAUAAAUGAAUGAAAAAAUAGUGUACAAUUUAAGAGAAGAAUUUGGUAUACUUGAACCAGUAUCAAUGGCAAAUAAAAUCCUUGUGAUGGGGUUUUUCCAGACUUUAGCAACAGUUGAUUGCGCAGUAUAAG
rnacentral:lncRNA from 1 species